GUCUCUGUGGCGCAAUUGGUUAGCGCGUUCGGCUGUUGACCGAAAGGUUGCUGGUUCAAGCCCAGCCAGGGACG
rfam:Ciona savignyi cont_26873, whole genome shotgun sequence.